rnacentral:rRNA from 1 species
UACGUAGGGUGCAAGCGUUAAUCGGAAUUACUGGGCGUAAAGCGUGCGCAGGCGGCUUUGCAAGACAGAUGUGAAAUCCCCGGGCUCAGCCUGGGAACUGCAUUUGUGACUGCAAGGCUAGAGUACGGUAGAGGGGGAUGGAAUUCCGCGUGUAGCAGUGAAAUGCGUAGAUAUGCGGAGGAACACCGAUGGCGAAGGCAAUCCCCUGGACCUGUACUGACGCUCAUGCACGAAAGCGUGGGGAGCAAACAGG